CACUGAAAUACCUAAACCUAAGCAACUAAUCAGUCUCGGCCUCAUUUCUUCCCUCAAACCCGAUCUGAGAGAGCCUCCUUCACAAAGCCGAUCUGAACCGAACUUGAGAGCUCGGCCUUCGGCCGCUUCCGCCAUGUCCGCCAACGCCAAGACCUCUCUCUCUUCACUUCACUUCAGUCUCAGCCUAAUCAAGUAGCCAAUUCAUCAAUUGUUCCCAAACUCGAUCUGAACCUUCAUUGAAAACAGUCAAACGCUUGAUCUGAACCUUCAGUUCCCAGCACCUUAUAGAGGGAAAACUGUGGAAGCCAAUUAAUGGAUGGCUGCAUUGCUGGUGAACUGCUGGAUUGAAGACUGGAAGAAUGUCUACUAAGUUGCUAUAUUUGAAUUAGGACUUUCUAUUUCAUUCCAUAUUUGUACUUGAAUUUGGACUUCGCAUUUAAAUUUGGACACUUUGUAUUUCAAUUGUAGCUUUAAUUGUUCUUGAUGAGUACUUGAAUUUGGAUAUUAUGUAUUAUGGAUAUUUGAAUUUGCAGCUUCAA